UACGUAGGUGGCAAGCGUGGUCCGGAUUUACUGGGCGUAAAGAGCGCGCAGGCGGUCGGUCAAGUCGCGUGUGAAAGCCCCCGGCUCAACUGGGGAGGGUCACGCGAUACUGAUCGACUCGAAGGCAGGAGAGGGAAGUGGAAUUCCCGGUGUAGUGGUGAAAUGCGUAGAUAUCGGGAGGAACACCAGUGGCGAAGGCGACUUCCUGGCCUGUUCUUGACGCUGAGGCGCGAAAGCUAGGGGAGCAAACGGG
rnacentral:rRNA from 1 species